AAAGCUGAGCACUGGUAUGGUCAUGAAACUCCCUGUACCAGAGAAGUCCUUCCUCCAAAAGUCCUUGGAAGACAACGCUGUGUUUUGAAGACAGGCUCCAGAAAAGCAUAGGAGGAGGGAUAGAAGCGUUUCCAGAAAUAUUUAUAAAAGAACAAAGGAAAAUUUUUGGAAACUGGUGGAAAGUCAAUGUUAGUUGGAUCCCUUUGCUCCUAUGAACUUCAUUCCAUAAAUUGAGAGUCAUUUUUUGAGGGAGGAAGGAAGUCGAAAGCAGAAAUAUCUGUGCUAAAUGUUUAGUAGCUUUGGUAGGCUUUUGACCUGAGCAGUCAAUUCUCCUAACUUCAGAUCGGCCCAGACUACUGGCAAGACGUGUGCAGUCAAGUAACAUUUAUAGGUCUUGACCUCCAGAGGAUUCAGAAGCACUUGACAGAGUUGAGCAGCUAAGGAAAGAAUUUAGGAAUGUGUUUACUCUGUUAUGUUUCCUGACCAGUCCUCAUACCAAUGAGUUUUCCAUAAGUGGAAUUUUCUGCAGAAGGCCAGUGAGGAGCUAGGAAACACUCUCCACCGGUGAGACUGCUCUUGCAGUUUGUAAAUUACCCCAUUGCUUCUGCACUUCUGGGUUCUGCUGUUUGGGAUUUUCGAAAUUGGUUUAGGGUUGACCUGGCCAACAGUCAAGCACCCACACAGCUGCUCACUCACUCCCCUGUGGGAUGGGGGAGAGAAUAGGAAGAACAAAGUAAGAAAACUCAUGUGUCAAGAUAAAGAAAUUUUAAUAAGCCAAGGAAAGAGCAAAAAAACCUAAGUGACGCCAAGGCCUCCCACUAGCAGACCAGUGCCAGUCCCUCAGCAUCGGCCACCUUGGAAACACAACCUCUGCUUCUUUCUCUACUACCAGUUUUUACUGCUGAGCAUGAUGCUAGGUGGUGUGGGAUGUCCCCUGGCCAGAGCUGUCCUGGCUGUGCUCCCUCUCAACCUCUCGCCCACCCCUGGCCUGCUUGCUGUGUGAGGCAGAGAAGGUCUGGACACAGUGCAAGAGCUGUUCAGCAGUAGCUGAAACACUGUUUUAGCCACAAAUCUGAAACACAGGCUGCUGUGGGCUGCUUUCACGAAGUUAACUCAGCCCUGGCCAUCACAAAAAUGAUCCAGGUGAAACUGAGAAAGACACUCACAAAGGCCACUGUUAGAAGGAAGAAUAAACAAGGACUGUGCUUUACUUCAACUGUUUAAACAAACAAUUUACAUU